UUAAGUUAGAAAGGGCGCACGGUGGAUGCCUUGACACUAGGAGUCGAUGAAGGACGGGACUAACGCCGAUAUGCUUCGGGGAGCUGUAAGUAAGCUUUGAUCCGAAGAUUUCCGAAUGGGGAAACCCACCAUACGUAAUGGUAUGGUAUCCUUAUCUGAAUACAUAGGGUAAGGAAGACAGACCCAGGGAACUGAAACAUCUAAGUACCUGGAGGAAGAGAAAGCAAAUGCGAUUUCCUGAGUAGCGGCGAGCGAAACGGAACAUAGCCCAAACCAAGAGGCUUGCCUCUUGGGGUUGUAGGACAUUCUAUACGGAGUUACAAAGGAACGAGGUAGACGAAGCGACCUGGAAAGGUCCGUCGUAGAGGGUAACAACCCCGUAGUCGAAACUUCGUUCUCUCUUGAAUGUAUCCUGAGUACGGCGGAACACGUGAAAUUCCGUCGGAAUCUGGGAGGACCAUCUCCCAAGGCUAAAUACUCCCUAGUGAUCGAUAGUGAACCAGUACCGUGAGGGGAAAGGUGAAAAGCACCCCGGAAGGGGAGUGAAAGAGAUCCUGAAACCGUGUGCCUACAAAUAGUCAGAGCCCGUUAACGGGUGAUGGCGUGCCUUUUGUAGAAUGAACCGGCGAGUUACGAUCCCGUGCGAGGUUAAGCUGAAGAGGCGGAGCCGCAGCGAAAGCGAGUCUGAAUAGGGCGUUUAGUACGUGGUCGUAGACCCGAAACCAGGUGAUCUACCCAUGUCCAGGGUGAAGUUCAGGUAACACUGAAUGGAGGCCCGAACCCACGCACGUUGAAAAGUGCGGGGAUGAGGUGUGGGUAGCGGAGAAAUUCCAAUCGAACCUGGAGAUAGCUGGUUCUCCCCGAAAUAGCUUUAGGGCUAGCCUUAAGUGUAAGAGUCUUGGAGGUAGAGCACUGAUUGGACUAGGGGUCCUCAUCGGAUUACCGAAUUCAGUCAAACUCCGAAUGCCAAUGACUUAUCCUUAGGAGUCAGACUGCGAGUGAUAAGAUCCGUAGUCAAAAGGGAAACAGCCCAGACCGCCAGCUAAGGUCCCAAAGUGUGUAUUAAGUGGAAAAGGAUGUGGAGUUGCUUAGACAACUAGGAUGUUGGCUUAGAAGCAGCCACCAUUUAAAGAGUGCGUAAUAGCUCACUAGUCGAGUGACUCUGCGCCGAAAAUGUACCGGGGCUAAAUACACCACCGAAGCUGCGGAUUGAUACCAAUGGUAUCAGUGGUAGGGGAGCGUUCUAAGGACAGUGAAGUCAGACCGGAAGGACUGGUGGAGUGCUUAGAAGUGAGAAUGCCGGUAUGAGUAGCGAAAGACGGGUGAGAAUCCCGUCCACCGAAUGCCUAAGGUUUCCUGAGGAAGGCUCGUCCGCUCAGGGUUAGUCAGGACCUAAGCCGAGGCCGACAGGCGUAGGCGAUGGACAACAGGUUGAUAUUCCUGUACCACCUCUUUAUCGUUUGAGCAAUGGAGGGACGCAGAAGGAUAGAAGAAGCGUGCGAUUGGUUGUGCACGUCCAAGCAGUUAGGCUGAUAAGUAGGCAAAUCCGCUUAUCGUGAAGGCUGAGCUGUGAUGGGGAAGCUCCUUAUGGAGCGAAGUCUUUGAUUCCCCGCUGCCAAGAAAAGCUUCUAGCGAGAUAAAAGGUGCCUGUACCGCAAACCGACACAGGUAGGCGAGGAGAGAAUCCUAAGGUGUGCGAGAGAACUCUGGUUAAGGAACUCGGCAAAAUGACCCCGUAACUUCGGGAGAAGGGGUGCUUUCUUAACGGAAAGCCGCAGUGAAUAGGCCCAAGCGACUGUUUAGCAAAAACACAGCUCUCUGCGAAGCCGUAAGGCGAAGUAUAGGGGGUGACACCUGCCCGGUGCUGGAAGGUUAAGGAGAGGGGUUAGCGUAAGCGAAGCUCUGAACUGAAGCCCCAGUAAACGGCGGCCGUAACUAUAACGGUCCUAAGGUAGCGAAAUUCCUUGUCGGGUAAGUUCCGACCCGCACGAAAGGUGUAACGAUUUGGGCACUGUCUCAACCAGAGACUCGGUGAAAUUAUAGUACCUGUGAAGAUGCAGGUUACCCGCGACAGGACGGAAAGACCCCGUGGAGCUUUACUGUAGCCUGAUAUUGAAUUUUGGUACAGUUUGUACAGGAUAGGCGGGAGCCUUUGAAACCGGAGCGCUAGCUUCGGUGGAGGCGCUGGUGGGAUACCGCCCUGACUGUAUUGAAAUUCUAACCUACGGGUCUUAUCGACCCGGGAGACAGUGUCAGGUGGGCAGUUUGACUGGGGCGGUCGCCUCCUAAAGUGUAACGGAGGCGCCCAAAGGUUCCCUCAGAAUGGUUGGAAAUCAUUCGUAGAGUGCAAAGGCAUAAGGGAGCUUGACUGCGAGACCUACAAGUCGAGCAGGGACGAAAGUCGGGCUUAGUGAUCCGGUGGUUCCGCAUGGAAGGGCCAUCGCUCAACGGAUAAAAGCUACCCCGGGGAUAACAGGCUUAUCUCCCCCAAGAGUCCACAUCGACGGGGAGGUUUGGCACCUCGAUGUCGGCUCAUCGCAUCCUGGGGCUGUAGUCGGUCCCAAGGGUUGGGCUGUUCGCCCAUUAAAGCGGUACGCGAGCUGGGUUCAGAACGUCGUGAGACAGUUCGGUCCCUAUCCGUCGUGGGCGUAGGAAAUUUGAGAGGAGCUGUCCUUAGUACGAGAGGACCGGGAUGGACGCACCGCUGGUGUACCAGUUGUUCUGCCAAGGGCAUAGCUGGGUAGCUAUGUGCGGAAGGGAUAAGUGCUGAAAGCAUCUAAGCAUGAAGCCCCCCUCAAGAUGAGAUUUCCCAUAGCGUAAGCUAGUAAGAUCCCUGAAAGAUGAUCAGGUUGAUAGGUUCGAGGUGGAAGCAUGGUGACAUGUGGAGCUGACGAAUACUAAUAGAUCGAGGACUUAACCAU
rnacentral:rRNA from 1 species